rnacentral:siRNA from 1 species
UACAACGCCACUUGGUCUCUUGAC